rnacentral:rRNA from 1 species
AUAUACGACCGUACCGCAAACCGACACUGGUGCGCGAGAUGAGUAUUCUAAGGCGCUUGAGAGAACUCAGGAGAAGGAACUCGGCAAAUUGACACCGUAACUUCGGAAGAAGGUGUGCCCUAUUAGUGUGUAGUGAACAACGAAGCAUGAAUGGGUUGCAAAAAAUCGGUGGCUGCGACUGUUUAUUAAAAACACAGCACUCUGCAAACACGAAAGUGGACGUAUAGGGUGUGACGCCUGCCCGGUGCUGGAAGAUUAAAUGAUGGGGUGCAAGCUCUUGAUUGAAGUCCCAGUAAACGGCGGCCGUAACAAUAACGGUCCUAAGGUAGCGAAAUUCCUUGUCGGGUAAGUUCCGACCUGCACGAAUGGCGUAACGAUGGCCACACUGUCUCCUCCUGAGACUCAGCGAAGUUGAAAUGUUUGUGAUGAUGCAAUCUCCCCGCGGAAAGACGGAAAGACCCCAUGAACCUUUACUGUAGCUUUGUAUUGGACUUUGAACAGAUCUGUGUAGGAUAGGUGGGAGGCUUUGAAGCAGGGUCGCUAGAUCUUGUGGAGCCAACGUUGAAAUACCACCCUGGUGUGUUUGAGGUUCUAACCUAGGUCCAUUAUCUGGAUCGGGGACAGUGCAUGGUAGGCAGUUUGACUGGGGCGGUCUCCUCCCAAAGCGUAACGGAGGAGUUCGAAGGUACGCUAGUUACGGUCGGACAUCGUGACGAUAGUGCAAUGGCAUAAGCGUGCUUAACUGCGAGACUGACAAGUCGAGCAGAUGCGAAAGCAGGACAUAGUGAUCCGGUGGUUCUGUAUGGAAGGGCCAUCGCUCAACGGAUAAAAGGUACUCUGGGGAUAACAGGCUGAUACCGCCCAAGAGUUCAUAUCGACGGCGGUGUUUGGCACCUCGAUGUCGGCUCAUCUCAUCCUGGGGCUGUAGCCGGUCCCAAGGGUAUGGCUGUUCGCCAUUUAAAGAGGUACGUGAGCUGGGUUUAAAACGUCGUGAGACAGUUUGGUCCCUAUCUUCCGUGGGCGCUGCAGAUUUGAGGAAGCCUGCUCCUAGUACGAGAGGACCGGAGUGGACACACCUCUGGUGUAUCGGUUGUCACGCCAGUGGCAUUGCCGAGUAGCUAAGUGUGGAAGAGAUAACCGCUGAAAGCAUCUAAGCGGGAAACUCGUUUCAAGAUGAGAUCUGCCGGGGCCUUGAGCCCCCUAAAGAGUCGUUCAAGACCAGGACGUUGAUAGGUCAGGUGUGGAAGUGA